rnacentral:lncRNA from 1 species
UUUUUUUUUUUAAAGAUUUUAUUUAUUUAUUCAUACGAGUCUGAGAGAGAGAGAGAGGCAGAGAAACAGGCAGAGGGAGAAGCAGGCUCCAUGCAGGGAGCCUGACGUGGGACUCGAUCCCGGGACUCCAGGAUCAUGCCCUGGGCUGAAGGCAGGUGCUAAACCGCUGAGCCACCCAGGCUGCCCAGUUAAUGCUCCUAAUUCUGGCCAGCCACCCUGAAAAUCUGUAACUAAGACUCAGAGAAAGAAUUGUGCCGGGCAGGCCAUCCACCAUGGUGCCGAGGACCUGGCAAGAAUGCAAGGCUCUGACCGCUCAGAGCCGCUACGUCGUAUUGUCAGGCAUUAACCCCGGGGAUGAGGUAGCAGCGUCUGCCUCUGGACAAGGAACCGCCCUGCUUCUGCCCUCCAUCAGAGCAGCGAGUGCAGCGAGCUCAGGUCCCCUUCCGGCAGCGUGGCUCCCUGUGUUUGCAGUCGUCCCCUGUGGGACCUGAGGGUCAUGAGGAGUCAAUGCACUUGACCAUGAAGCUCUGGCUGCUGCUGUCGUCAGGACACCUGUGUCCUCUGUCUCUGGCUCCGCAGCCUUGUGCCUUCUACCCGCAUUCAUGAAACAGACCAGCUUGGUGGUUUGCAGGGAGGGGGAAAUCGGGGGCCCUGCACAGUUCUUGACAGUUUUGGGGAUGAGGAUGGGGUGCUAACCGAGAUGUGGCUUCUGGAAGAGAGCAAAUGAGGACUCUCAGGUCCGCCAGAGGACCUAGAAGACCCCUCAGGGUCCUGUAAUGAAGGCCCUUGUCCUGCUGGCAGGUGAGAAGGGGGAGGCACUCUCCUAUCUGUUCAGGGAGGUUUAGAGGCUGAGCAGCAGAGAGAGAGGAUUGAAACCAGCCUUCCAAAUGGUACCUUGGUUGUCACACAUUGUUUCCGAAUGAAGGAAGUCAGGGAUGGUGUCUUUACCAAGGACAGGCCCACGACUCUAACUCCAAGGUGAUAUGGUUUUGAUGGCAGAGUCAAAGGUCUCCAGCGCUGAAUUAACUGAUGUCCACAAGAGGAUGCAAGAUUUUGGAAGGAAAAAGUUUGUUAAUUGAGCUGAAUGGGAAGCGUCUGGAAAUAAAGUUAAUGCAAAAACCGUCCUUCUUGUUCCUUGCUUCCUACACUCUUCCCUGAGGCCCUCAUGCCUCCCUCCCUCUCUCCUGCCUCUGCUGCUUUAGGAACAGAGGUGAAUGAAUUAGCCCCUGAUGCAGGUGUUGAAUCCCUGAUUUGUGUUAGCAUUUUGGGGGCGGUUGUGGGGACGGCAUCUGGAUUCAACUGAUAAGGUCUCAAGAUUCACAAAGAAAGAACGGUAAUAAACUACCAGCUCACCUAAGAACUAGGUAACUGGGGGCUCCUGGGUGCCUCAGUCCCUUGAGCAUCCGACUCUUGAUCUCAGCUUGGGUUUCCAUCUCGGGGUCAUGGGUUGGGGCCCCACACUGGCCUCCGUGCUGGGUGUGGAGCCUACUUAAAAAAACAGUUUGCUAGAAGAGUACUGUUUACAGAAAACAGUUCUACUUCUACCCUCUAGCUUCUGUGGCUGCUCAAACAGUUACAACGACAUAGGACAGGUUAACAGGAGAAACCCAAAUUUAAUAAAGAUACGAAGACUCAAAAGGCAGCUGGACAGUUGAAGCUGAUACAACAUCCUGAGCGAUGGACAGGGUGGGGGCCCCCGGGAGGCAGUGGAGAGGAAGGCUGUUCACAAGAAGGCAGAGGAGAUGUGAGGACAACAAAGGUUAGCCACGUCAGCGUCUUAGGUAAACCAGUUGUCUCUGGUAAUAGCUUCUUCCUGGUGCAAGACCCCUUUCCCUUGUAAAUUUAGAGAAAUUUGAGAGAAAGGUGAAGAGCUUUUCCUGAAUCUGCUGGGUUUUGAUCACCUUUAGCUCAAAAUAAUCCUCAUGCCAAGGUGACCUAUAUUGGGGAAACUCGUUCUGAAACCCUUAGUUCUAUACCUAUUAAAGUAAUUUUGUGGUUAGGGUCCUUCAAACAAAGAAAACUCCAGACCCAGAAAGUCUUUUAUAUAUAUAUAUAUAUAUUUUAUUUAUUAUUCAUGAGAGACAGAGAAAGAGAGAGAGAGAGGCAGAGACACAGACAGAGGGAGAAGCAGGCUCCACGCAGGGAGCCUGACACGGGACUCGAUCCCGUAGACCCAGAAAGUCUUUCUGGUGAAUUCCACUAAACACUCAAGAAAUAAAAAAAAUUUACAAUUUCUUCUUUAAUAAAGAAGUUUAGAGGACACUUCCCAAUUCACUUCACGAAGCCAGUGUUACUCAAAAAUCCAAACCAACGGCAUGAGAAGAACAUAAAACCGCAGACCAAUAUCCUUCACGAACAUAAGCACAAACAUCCCCCAAAAUAUUAGCAAAGUGAGUCAGAAAUAUGUAAAAAUAGCAAACCACAGCGUUUAUCCUGGAAACAGAAGGCUGGUUGUCAUGGGUACGCCCGGAAGGUGCACACACGAGUUGCAUCUUUCCACAAUGUCAGCUUUAUUCGAUCAUAAAGCAAAGUGAAAUCCCAACUAUAAAGCAGGUUGGGGACCCCAAACUCCAUGGCAUUUCCCCAGGUGAUUAAACUUGGCUUCUCACACAGGACGCACAGCAGGACAGAAGACAAGCCGCACGACAAACCGGGUCACAGAAGUGCAGGAAGUUCAGCGCAGUUGAGAGGAGACCUCGGUCCCAUCCGGGUUCACUCUCACACUUACCCCUUAUGUUCAAGCGGGGAAGGAUCUCGGUUCUGUUCCUAGAUCAACUGGGCAGAAACUUGAGCAGCAGCUGCCUGUUUGAAGUGGGCAGACAUAGAGAGGUUAGGUCUGAAGGUCUGACAGUUUGCUUUUUAAAGGGAUUCAAUCAAUUUCGGGUCCCUGUGGACAUCCUCUGGCUCUGGUGGGUGGUAAUUGUGGGGUGGCGGCUGACGCUGGUCCCGGAGAGGUGUCAUAGCUGCAGUAUCUUUCACUGCUCGGUCAUUGUUUGACACGGGCGCCUGCUUGACACGAGUGGCUCCAGUUUGCUCUCUACACUGAUUCCGUAUUCAGAAAUUAAUGUGAACCGUAGUAAUAGGCUCAUUAGGAGAAAGAGCAUAUGCUUAUUUUACUAGAUGCAGAAUAAAAUCUGAUAUAAAUGCAUAAUCAUUCAAUUAAAAGAAAAUGUCCUCAAUCUAGUAAAACAGAUCUACAAAACGUCUCCAGCUCACGUUAUAUUUAUUAGUGAAAGACUGAAUGCUUUCUUCCUAAAAUCCGGAGCAAGACAGAGGUGUUCCCUAUUACCACGUGGGAAUCAGUCAUUCUACAUAGCCCAAUAAGGGAAGAAAAAGAAAUAAAAGACACACAGCUGGCCAAUAAAACUGUCUAUUCACAGACAGCAUGACUGUCUAAGUAGAAAAACCAAAAGAAUCGCUAAAAAGUUUUCUUCGACAGGUAUGUGAGAUCAGCAAACCAAUUUAAAAAUCAAUUGCAUCUCAAUAGGCUAGCAACGAAGACUGGAAAUUGAAAUUUAAAAAUAGAUUAUUUUCAGUGGCAUGGAAAACUUGAAAUAAUUCUUUAUCAAUAGAAUAGGGUGCGGGCAUGACCCACACAAAACCACACAAAACACUUAGGAAAGGAGCCCGUGUUAAAAAGACUGUAGCGAGCGUGGAGGUACACUCUGCUCGCAAACUACGAAACUCAGGAAGGUGGUAAAUGAUGUAAGAAAUAGAGGCGGGGGGUGGGGGAGAAUGGGUGACGGGCACUGAGGGGGGCACUUGACGGGAUGAGCACUGGGUGUUAUUCUGUAUGUUGGCAAAUUGAACACCAAUAAAAAAUAAAUUUAUUAUUUAAAAAAAAA